CAGAGGGGGCAAGCGUUGUUCGGAAUUACUGGGCGUAAAGGGCGCGUAGGCGGCCUGUUAAGUCGAACGUGAAAUCCCCGGGCUCAACCCGGGAACUGCGUCCGAUACUGGCAGGCUUGAAUCCGGGAGAGGGAUGCGGAAUUCCAGGUGUAGCGGUGAAAUGCGUAGAUAUCUGGAGGAACACCGGUGGCGAAGGCGGCAUCCUGGACCGGCAUUGACGCUGAGGCGCGAAAGCCAGGGGAGCAAACGGGAUUAGAUACCCCGGUAGUCCUGGCCCUAAACGAUGAAUGCUUGGUGUGGCGGGUAUCGAUCCCUGCCGUGCCGAAGCUAACGCAUUAAGCAUUCCGCCUGGGGAGUACGGUCGCAAGGCUG
rnacentral:rRNA from 1 species